GAUGAACGCUGGCGGCGUGCCUAAUACAUGCAAGUCGAGCGAACAGACGAGGAGCUUGCUCCUUUGACGUUAGCGGCGGACGGGUGAGUAACACGUAGGUAACCUACCUAUAAGACUGGGAUAACUUCGGGAAACCGGAGCUAAUACCGGAUAAUAUUUCGAACCGCAUGGUUCGAUAGUGAAAGAUGGCUUUGCUACCACUUAUAGAUGGACCUGCGCCGUAUUAGCUAGUUGGUAAGGUAACGGCUUACCAAGGCAACGAUACGUAGCCGACCUGAGAGGGUGAUCGGCCACACUGGAACUGAGACACGGUCCAGACUCCUACGGGAGGCAGCAGUAGGGAAUCUUCCGCAAAGGGCGAAAGCCUGACGGAGCAACGCCGCGUGAGUGAUGAAGGUCUUCGGAUCGUAAAACUCUGUUAUUAGGGAAGAACAAACGUGUAAGUAACUGUGCACGUCUUGACGGUACCUAAUCGGAAAGCCACGGCUAACUACGUG
rnacentral:rRNA from 1 species